AGCGUCUCACCUUUCAAGGUUUGUAAGGCGUCAUGAUAACAAGACGCGGUUUUAGUGGAUGUGUUAUGCUGUAUGUAAUUUCAUGAUUCAAAAAGAAUAGUGAUCUUAAAAACAAACAACACACAAAGAUCUUUCGCUGGAGCACUUUUUACUGUAUUGUUUCAAAUAUUUUUCACAUCCAAGAUAUAAAGAAAAAGCAGCAUAAUUCCAGCCGUAUCUUUGGUUCUUAUUCAUGCGUUCUAGAGACAGGGACUCAGAUUUUUAAAUUAUGCUUUUUCAAAAUAUAGCCUGCUUCAACCGUUUUUCCAGAAUCUCUUACUGUACAUUAAAAUAUAUAGUUUUUGUUAAUUGUCGUUCAUAUUUUUCUGUCUUCACUUCUCAGGAAGUCAUACAAGUCCAGAAGAGUUUAAAGACUUCAUAUUAUCCUCAUUCCCAAAACUCAGAGACGGUGGUGGAUUUGAGCUCCUUAAGAUAGCUGGCAGUACUCGGAGUCGGCAGCUGAUGGUGAUCCAUGUCCAAACAGUGGCUACACUGUUCAAUAUUUAAACAAUCCCCAAAGUCAGAUCGGGAACGCUACCAUUUUCAUCAGGCCACUCCAGAGGAACCUUAUUCCACUCCUUUAUCUCAAACAGAGAGCAACAUUGAACCACCGGAGAAAUGUGUGCAGUGAGGGGAGGAGUUCCCAUUUUCUACAAUAAAAAAUCACAACGAUGAAUGCACAAGGUAUUGCACAACAAAGACUGUUGCAGAGCAGUGAUGAGGUACGAAUGGCGGUAACCGAAGAAGAUUCCCACCAACAGGACGUCAGACAGCAAGGCCCAUCAACACUAGAGAUACCUCAGGGACCUGCUGCUACUCCAGAGAUUGUUGAUCUAGUUUCCAUUGAAGAGAGAGGCUCUGCUGGUCUGGUCCAUUGAAAUUACACAUUUCAUGCUUUAUUUCAGUAGUUUGUUGCUCCCUACAGUGCGUGGAAGUAAUUAGUAAUUUUCUAUAUUCUAAACUGCUUAUAGGUUGGAAAAUUGAGACAGCAAAGAGAUUCAAAGAAGGGCUGUUGGGUCAGCAUGAAACUGAAAAAACUUCAAGUAUCGUCUUG